CCUACGGGAUGCAGCAGUGAGGAAUAUUGGUCAAUGGGCGUAAGCCUGAACCAGCCAAGUCGCGUGAGGGAUGAAGGUUCUAUGGAUCGUAAACCUCUUUUAUAAGGGAAUAAAGUGUGGGACGUGUCCUGUUUUGUAUAUACCUUAUGAAUAAGGAUCGGCUAACUCCGUGCCAGCAGCCGCGGUAAUACGGAGGAUCCGAGCGUUAUCCGGAUUUAUUGGGUUUAAAGGGUGCGUAGGCGGCAUUUUAAGUCAGCGGUGAAAGUCUGUGGCUCAACCAUAGAAUUGCCGUUGAAACUGGGAGGCUUGAGUAUGUUUGAGGCAGGCGGAAUGCGUGGUGUAGCGGUGAAAUGCUUAGAUAUCACGCAGAACCCCGAUUGCGAAGGCAGCCUGCCAAGCCAUGACUGACGCUGAUGCACGAAAGCGUGGGGAUCAAACAGGAUUAGAUACCCUGGUAGUC
rnacentral:rRNA from 1 species